GAUGAACGCUAGCGGGAGGCCUAACACAUGCAAGCCGAGCGGUAGAGUCUCUUCGGAGACUUGAGAGCGGCGCACGGGUGCGGAACACGUGUGCAACCCGCCUUUAUCUGGGGGAUAGCCUUUCGAAAGGAAGAUUAAUACCCCAUAAUAUACUGGAUGGCAUCAUCUGGUAUUGAAAACUCCGGUGGAUAGAGAUGGGCACGCGCAAGAUUAGAUAGUUGGUGAGGUAACGGCUCACCAAGUCAGCGAUCUUUAGGGGGCCUGAGAGGGUGAUCCCCCACACUGGUACUGAGACACGGACCAGACUCCUACGGGAGGCAGCAGUGAGGAAUAUUGGACAAUGGGUGAGAGCCUGAUCCAGCCAUCCCGCGUGAAGGACGACGGCCCUAUGGGUGGUAAACUUCUUUUGGAUAGGGAUAAACCUAGAUACGUGUAUCUAGCUGAAGGUACUAUACGAAUAAGCACCGGCUAACUCCGUG
rnacentral:rRNA from 1 species